rnacentral:rRNA from 1 species
CCUACGGGAGGCAGCAGCCGCGGUAAUACUCCUACGGGAGGCAGCAGGCGCGAAAACUCUACCAUGCGGGCAACCGUGAUAAGGAAACCCCGAGUGCCAGCACAGGCUGGCUGUCCGCCAGUGUAAAUAACUGGUGAAGAAAGGGCCGGGCAAGACCGGUGCCAGCAGCCGCGGUAAU